CCUACGGGAGGCAGCAGUGGGGAAUAUUGCGCAAUGGGCGAAAGCCUGACGCAGCGACGCCGCGUGAGGGAUGAAGGUCUUCGGAUCGUAAACCUCUAUCAGCAGGGAAGCACGGUCACUGUGCUAAUCAGCAGUGAAUUGACGGUACCUGCAAAGGAAGCACCGGCCAACUCCGUGCCAGCAGCCGCGGUAAUACGGAGGGUGCGAGCGUUAAUCGGAAUUACUGGGCGUAAAGCGCGCGUAGGCGGUAUGUCAAGUCAAGGGUGAAAUCCCCGCGCUCAACGUGGGAACUGACUUUGAAACUGGCAAACUGGAGUGUGUGAGAGGAUAGUGGAAUGCCAGGUGUAGGAGUGAAAUGCGUAGAUAUCUGGAGGAACAUCAGUGGCGAAGGCGACUAUCUGGCACAUAACUGACGCUGAGGAGCGAAAGCGUGGGUAGCAAACAGGAUUAGAUACCCUAGUAGUC
rnacentral:rRNA from 1 species